rnacentral:rRNA from 1 species
AGGAUAAACGCUGGCGGCGUGCCUAACACAUGCAAGUCGAACGCGCUUGCUAUCCGCGAGGACGGUGAGCGAGUGGCGGACGGGUGAGGAACACGUGGGUGACCUACCUUUCAGUGAGGGAUACCGGCGAGAAAUUGCCGACAAGACCGCAUACGCUUCUCUUUUCAAGGGGAGAAGGAAAGCUUUUCGCAAGAGAGGCGCUGGGAGAUGGGCCUGCGGCCGAUUAGCUAGCUGGUGGGUAAUGGCCUACCAGGGCGACGAUCGGUAGCUGGUCUGAGAGGACGAUCAGCCACACUGGGAUUGAGAACGGCCCAGACUCCUACGGGGGGCAGCAGUGAGGAAUUUCGGCAAUGGGGGCAACCCUGACCGAGCAACGCCGCGUGCAGGACGACGGCCUUCGGGUUGUAAACUGCUUUUCUCUGGGACGAGCAAGGACGGUACCAGAGGAAGAAGCCCGGCUAACUACGUGCCAGCAGCCGCGGU